GUAUACCACUUCAAACAAUUAAUAGGUUAAUUAAAUUUUUUAAUAUAUAUUUAAUGCAUAUGUUAGAUUAUAUAAUAAAUUUUUUGAUAAUUAAUUUUAAUUUAAUAAUUAAUUUGUUUAUACACAAUCACACAAGGCCAAAGCCGAAUCUAGGGUGGGAAAGUAGCAUAAGUUUCCCAUCAAGCAUAAGGAGCCAUGAUCGUUGGAUCUAAGCAUUUUUGGAGAUACAUGUGAGUUUACCGUAAGAAUGACUACAUUGGAAUAUAGUUAGAAGAAGAAGAAAAAAAAUCCCCUUCCUAUAUUUGAGACCCUGUCAAUGAACGCACACGCGCCUCUUCCCCUUUUGUGCGUGAGCUUGUUCCCCUUCUACUUCCAAUUCUUGACAUUGAAAUCGUGAGGGGUUCUGGAGGUAAUGUUGUUGAGGUCCCCUUCCCUUUCCCCGUUAAUUGGAACGAUGAGAUCUAAAUGGGAGAUUAAUCCUUCAAAACAAAGUUUAAAUGUACAAUCACACGAGUAACAACUGUUGUGAUGAACUCCACUAUAGGAAUUCGACUAGUCUAAUCAUUUGAGAUACGACAAGUUAAAAUGAUUUUGAAAACAAUUGAGUAGUAUGUAUUACAUAACUCAAACUCCAAUAACACAUAUAUGAUUAUAAAUGUUUGUUUUAAUGAUAUGAUUAAUCAUAUAAAAAUAACAUAUUUAUAUUAUUAUUGUGUGAUAUGUAUAUGAUGCAUGAGGCGUGAUAACGUGUUAUCUUGAAAUUAUAAAAGUGUGAUGAACUAUGUAUAAAUAAAGUUAAGUAUUUGUUAAAUUGUAAGAUCACAUGUGUAUUGAGAUGUUGUGUGUAUUGAGUUAUGAACUAUGAAUCAUACAAUCCUUUGAGGACGACGAGUUUUUGUACGACAAAUAUUGUGAUGAGAUCUACUGUAGGAAACUCGAGGCACGAUAGGUUAAAAUUAUUUUGAGAAUAAUUGAGGAGUCAUGCGUUUUGUAUAGUUCAUAGAUAGAGUCUAGGUGUUAAAAUGUUUCUUGGGUUGUACAUGAAUAGGAGAGAGAGACCCUGACAAACUCUUCGGAUUCUAGGCCUUGGGAGUAAAUACAUGGUUUGAGUGCUCUUUAAGCUUGUGCUGAUCUCACAUGAUUGGAGCAUUUUCGCAAAAUAAUGUGAUUCUGACUAGUUUCCCUAUGAUUUUGCCUAGUGAGAUUGACCUGACUUACCAGUACAUGAUCUGUCUUGUCAUGUACUCCUAAGCGCUCGAUGAGGUUUUUCACUAACAUGAUAUUACAUCGCAUCUAGGAUUGAAUCUUAGUAUAUCUAUUAUAUAAUGCUUGUAUAUUGAUCAUUAUUGACUGGUUGACUGAUAUUGUGUUUUGAUUUUUGAAUACGUGAAUGAUGUGAAAAUAUGUGAGAUGUGUUGUGUUGAGACGUGAUGUUAUACGAUAAGUGAUGUGGAAUAACGUAAAUUGUGUUUAAGUAAAUUAUAUUUCAUUUAUAUAAUAUGUAUAUUCAUAUGUUGUCUCGUUUCUCUUUAUUAGCUAGGAAUGUGAUAAGUCACUCAUUGUGUACUGUUUGUAUUUGGAUCUUGUGAUAUGUGGGAGUGGAUGGUUAGAUAGAUGACUAUGGAGAACCUCAUACUAAAGGAUGGCCAUGGUUACUUGUGGGGAUCUUGGAGCUGAACUUCCAAUAGAGGAAGUUCCUUUAUUGCAGGUGAUGUUAUGCUCAGAGUAGCUAGCAUGAUAUGUAUGCCAUUUUGUUCACAAUGGGUGAGAUGUAUGCAAGUUCUUUCAUGAGAUGAUCUACAAAAUAUGUUGAUAAUUAUUGCUUUGGUACAUCUAAGUUGGGAAUAGUGUCAGGGAAAAUCUGAUAAAAUAAUAGGAACUUCAUUAGCUGUUGUGAGUUUCACUUUGUAGGAUCAUCCUGAUAGUUACAUGCGUCAAUUUCGUUGAAAACCCUUCUCUACCUGCUUGGACAGUGAACUCUCACUAAUGUUCUUUAUCAACUGUAAUAUUACCUUUUCAUAAAGGGUGAUGUAGAGCCUGUUAAACACAAUUCAAAUAUAGGUCUGUGUUCAUGCGCAUUUAGUGUCUUUUUAAAUUUCAAAACCAAAAAAUUGUUUAUGAAGGAGGAACUGGGACUAAGCUUAAUUUUGUGUUCUACGUAGUUCAUUCCCUUUUUAAUCAAACAGGAGGACAUCAUUAUAAGAUAUCAAAGUAUGCAAACGCCGGUUAUUGUGGCAACAAAUAUGCUUGAAAGCAUGAUUAAUCAUCCCACACCGAGGAGGGCAGAAGUCUCAGACAUUGCAAUUGCAGUAAGACAAGGUGCUGAUGCUAUCAUGCUUUCAGGAGAAACUGCACAUGGAAAGUGAUUUUGCUGUUCCUUGGUGACCUUUGUUCUUAUAUUUUAUUUUUGUUUUAGCUGUUCAAACUUUUUUUCAAUAUUCAUUUUUUACUAUUUGUAAUGCAUAAGCGAUACUCUUUACCAUUUUCAGAUAAAAGAAGAAGCAUCAUUAGAGAAGGUAAUGAAAGAUGUAAUGGGGAAUAAGAUAUCCUUUUAGGGGAAAUCUAAAAAAUAAGAACAAAUAGGAAGGAAUGUUAACUAAACAAAGCUUAGGAAUCUCCGCAUGUCUAAUAAAGGGGAAUUAGUUACCUUGAUUUACUAUAACUGAAAACUGCCCGUUCCUUUUUUUUUGUUUGUUCAAUAAUUUGCAUUAAUUAUAUGAUUUUCAUCAGUUUAUGAUUAGUAGACUUAUCUUUUUUUUUGGAGUGCAAUGUUUUCAGGAAGAAAAACAUCAUUCAUUAUAAAAAGAUACUCCUGUCCUAAAUUGGCUACAAAACCCAUUUUGUCAGACUUUUGUAUGUGUAGAUUAUUGUAUUUGCUGUAGAACUGCUUUUCAUUUAAAGAUGUAUGUGAUUCUUUUUUUUUAUAAAUUGAUUACAUAAGAAUGUUUAACCAUGUGUGUCUUGUGAUAAUGAAUUGACAGAAUUGUUUUCAUGAACUUCUUUUCCAAGAUUUUUAAUCUAAUAAAUUUAUCUUGAGGAUUGCAACUGCUUUCCAUUGAAAGCUGUUAAUGUUAUGCACACAGUGGCUCUUAGGAAUGAAUCUAGUGUUCAAAGUGAUGUUGCUCAUCCAAGUCAACUAAGUUCCCAUGAAGUGUGUGCUUGAUUAACAAAUAAGGAAGUUUUGGAGUUUUGUUUCAAAUGUUGUAGAGAUUUGUUCCUAUAUUUUAUUGAUAAUUGAUGAUAUGCUAAAAUCUAAUUAAUUUGUGUUUACUUGUUGACAGAGCCACAUGGGAGAAAUGUUUGCUUUCCAUGCGACAACAACGUCUAACACUCUUAAUACUCCUAUUAUUGUUUUCACCAGAACAGGAUCCAUGGCUAUUCUUUUGAGCCAUUAUAGGCCUUACACAACAAUCUUUGCAUUCACAAAUGAAGCAAGAAUUAAGCAGAGAUUGGUGCUUUACCAUGGCGUUAUGCCCAUAUAUAUGCAAUUUUCAAAUGAUGCAGAAGAGACCUUCUCUAGAGCCCUCAAGCUACUAUUGAGUAAGGGCCAUUUACACGAGGGACAGCAUGUUACUCUUGUUCAAAGUGGAGCACAACCAAUCUGGCGAGAGGAAUCCACUCACCACAUACAAGUUCGUAAGGUUCAUGGAUAAAAUUCUACGAAGGAUCUUUGUUCCUCAUAAGUGUACAUUUUUUUUUCCUUUCCCACUAUCUUAGAACUAGUUAUUCAUAUUUUAUGGCUAUUAUGCACUUGAAACACCAAAGUUGGAUAGUAAAAGAAAUUUCAUAAUGCAAAUAGUGAUUUAUUGAUAAGGAAUUGCCAUAGCCUCGAUGAA